GCUGGGUGUGGUGGUGUACGCCUGUAGUCCCAGCUACUCAGGAGGCUGAGGCAGGAGAAUCGCUUGAACCCAGGAGGCUGAGGUUGCAGUGAGCCGAGAUCCCGCCACUGCACUCCAGCCUGGGCGACAGAGCAAGACCCUGCCUCAA
rnacentral:SRP_RNA from 1 species